UACGUAGGUGACCAGCGUUGUCCGGAUUUACUGGGCGUAAAGAGCGCGCAGGCGGUCGUUCAAGUCGAGUGUGAAAGCCCCCCGGCUCAACUGGGGAGGGUCAUUCGAUACUGAUCGACUCGAAGGCAGGAGAGGGAAGUGGAAUUCCCGGUGUAGUGGUGAAAUGCGUAGAUAUCGGGAGGAACACCAGUGGCGCAGGCGGCGUCCUGGACCGGCACUGACGCUGAGGAGCGAAAGCGUGGGGAGCGAGUCCGG
rnacentral:rRNA from 1 species